rnacentral:lncRNA from 1 species
UGACCCUGGCAACAGAAGGGGAAUUCUUAUAAAUCACAAAGGAAAAUAAAUCACUUCACCCAUGGAGGGAAAGAGACAGCUUGAGAAAAGGGACUUUGGGAAAAGGCUGUCUUUAGAUAGCAGUCUCGUGUAAACAGUUUCUCAUGCUUACGAAGAUUCCAGUGGUGUUUCUUUUACUUAAAGUCAAGAUUCUUGCAAAAGUGUUGAAUACAUGGACUCCAACAAAUACAUUGAACAUCUGUUAAAUCAACUGGAGGAGCAACAUAGAAGUCUCUGGAGGGAGAAGUUGGCUGUGGCCCGACUGCAGAGAGAAGUUGCCCAGAGAAGAAAUGAGGGGGCCAUGCAUGAGAAGCUGAUCCAUGAAUUGGAAGAGGAGAGACACUUGCGUCUUCAGAGUGAGAAGCGCUUGCAGGAGGUGACACUGGAGUCUGAGCGCAACAGAAUUCAGAUGCGCGGCCUGCAGCAGCAGUUCUCCAGAAUGGAAGAAACAGUACGAAAUUUACUACAAAGUCAAGGACCUCCAGAACAGAAAAAAGAAGAAACGGUUAAUAUAAUGGUCUAUCAGGAAAAACUGUCAGAAGAGGAGCGAAAACACAAGGCAGCUUUGGAAGGCCGUCACAUGGUGCUAGAUGAGGACUCCAGGAGUGAAGGGAGCAGUGCAGAUGAGGGGAAAGGAAAGACCAAAUGGCUGUUAGAAAGAUUGAAAGCUCUAGAGGCAGAGAAUUCAGCAUUGGCUUUGGAAAAUGAAAAUCAAAGGGAACAGUAUGAGAGAUGUCUUGAUGAGGUAGCGAACCAGGUUGUGCAAGCCCUGCUCACUCAAAAGGAUCUCAGGGAGGAAUGUGUAAAGUUGAAAACAAGAGUGUUUGAUUUGGAACAACAGAAUCGAACGCUAAGCAUCCUUUUCCAACAGCGAGUCAGACCAACUUCUGAUCUCCUCCAGAAACUUCACUCGCGCAUCUUAGAUCUUUCAUCCGGGGAUUUACUCUCAGAUGUGGAAAGAAGCCAGAGUCUGACGCACUCACGAACUGAUGUUGAAAUGCAUGGCUGCCAGCUGAACACAAAAGCAGGAACCCCUGCUUUGAAAUGCCCUGGCAUGGGGAUUGCCGUCUCAGGUCAUCUCUGCCCUCGAAGCAGCUACAGCAGCAGUGAGCUCUCUCUCUCCAGCACCUGCAGCGAGUAUUCCAGCGGCUCUUCCUACACGUGGCAUGAUGGAAAGAACCUCAGGAAAAGGCAGUCAUCACAAAAUUGGGACAAAAGGUUAAGUAUUGACUCUUCGCUCCCGAGUGGCUUUGCUAGUCCUACAGAUGAACUACCUCCAACUCGCAUCAAGGAAAGCCACAUUUUGGAAGGACUAAGAAAGCUCCAGAAGCGAAAAGUGUUACUUGAACCCCCAUCAGUGAUAACCAAAUGGGGUUAUAAAGAUUGCAUGAACUCCAAUGAAGGAAUCUAUUCUCCAGGAAUUAAAAGUAGCAGCCUGAAGGAAUAUCCACCCUGCAAACCCACAGACACAGGGAGCCCCUGCACGGAUCCCCACAAGGCAUUUGUUUAUGAUAUGGAUUCUCACGACGAGGCUGAUGAGGACGCUUCCUCCUUAGCCUCGGUCCAAGUGGUUCCAAACCAGGUCUGCAGGCUGCACAGUUGUAAAUUAACCCACAGUGUCUCUGACAGCCUUUUUGGCUGGGAGCUGAAUGGCAAACACUGUUCAGAAAUCACUUCCUCGGUCUACUCCAGGGAGAGGCCUGAGAAGCUGACCAGUUGUGCCAGCAACUGCCCCUUGGACCAGAAGCUGUGUCCAGGCGUGCAGGGGCCUUGGGUACAGAGAGAGAAGGUAUCACCCAUCCAGGGCUGCCAAACCCUCAGUCUCCAGCCCUCAGACACCGAUGACACGGAGACCCUGGAUGAGCUGCACAUCGACAGCAGUGAUGAGAAAAGCCCUUCAGAUGUGUCUGCAACCGCGGAUACCGACCAGUCCACGGAGAACCUGGAUAUCCUCACAGGAUUUGAAAAAUCUUCACGUGGGUCUCCUGAGGAGGGAGAAAACCAAGUACCCAUCCAUUUAGAGAGCAGGCCAAAGACGUUUAGUUUCAUUAAGCAACAGAGGGUUGUAAAACGGACUUCCUCAGAAGAAUGUAUUACUGUGAUAUUUGAUGCAGAAGACGGCGAGCCCAUUGAAUUCAGCUCUCACCAGACUGGCCUUGUUACUGUUACCAGAAAGGAGAUUUCCAUCCAUCAGGCCCCUGCUGGGCCCCAGAUGGAACACACUGAACUUUCACCUCAGGGAAUUGCUCAUUCACAGCCAGGGCCUGCAGCUAGAGACUACCCUUUUUUAAAGAGGUCUGAAGAGGAAACUGAAAGAAACAUUCCACAAGAUGAGGUGGAUGAUACUGCCAUGGCGCCUGCUGUGUCUUUCCACCCCAGGACAGUGACGCAAAAUACUCAAAGGCUGGCCAAGCCGACGCGUGUCACUCCAUGCCAGAGUCAUUCUAGGUCAGCUGUGGGCACAGGCAUCUGUCAGAAGAAAAGUCUGACAAAAAUACCUACCAGGGGCAAGUCUUCACCUCAGAAAUCAAAAGUAAGGGAGCCUGAAGCCUCCCUUAUCAUGCCCUCAGCUGGCCCAGUGACUCUUGAGAAAUCACCAGCUCCAGCAAAACUCUCACAGUUCAAAAAGACUGAAGGUCCAGCUCCCCUUUUUGAUUUGCAGCCAGAUUCACACAUUCCAAAACCCCCUACUCAGCUUCCUCAUGGCUCCAAGAUGUCCAGCAGAAGGGAUUGGGUCCAGAGCUCCAAGAGUCAGAUUCUAGCAUCACAGUUGCUGUCCAGGCCCCCCACUGAACGGAGUGAUGAUGGGGAGCCCCCCACGAGGGAUAAACGCUGUGAUCCAGGGCCAGAGGCCGGGGUGAAAUCGCCCUCUCCACCAUCCCCUCCAGGCAGGUCGGUCUCCCUACUCAUCAGGCCCAGUUAUGACUUUUUGCCUCCACCUUCAUCUGCCAAAUCUGAAAGCAGGGUCCCCAACGAGACAGCCAGAAUGGUAUUGAAAUCGCCCCCUCUGAAAGGAUCCUCUGCUCCUGUUAUUUAUUUUAACCAGACCCUGACAGAUGUACAGGGGAAGAAACCGUCUGUGGCCUUCAGAAAGCCUGUCUUCACUCCCUCACCGCCUUCUGCAGAAACAGCAAUCCAGAUGAGAAGCCCUGCUCACAGCCCUUCCAGCUCAUUUGCUGUGAUGGUCCCGGAGAACCCAAAAGUCUCUCCAAAGAGAAAUGUCCCCAGAGCCCCACCUCACCAAACACUUGGGACCACACAGAACAACACAGGGUUACAGACUCCCAAGAACUAUGCUUCCCCCCGUGAGCCACUGGAAAUACUGUCCUCCAAAGGUGUAUCUCCAAGGAGAAAAGAACAGUUGAAUGGCAGUGUCUCCGCAUCCUCCAAGCCUUCCUUCUUAGGGGUUAAUGAAUCACCAUCGUCUCAGGUUAACAGUCCCUCAUCAUCAGCAUCCUUCAAAAGCCAUAACCCCCUACAUGGUUGUCAAAACCUUCAUGAGAGAGGACUGAAAACUCGCCUCCCAGUUGGGCUCAAAGUUUUCAUAAAGUCUCCCCAGUUGCUCAGGAAAAGUUCCACGGUGCCAGGGAAACAGGAAAAAGACAGUCUAAAUGAAGCUUCGAAAACUUCCGUGGCUGUGAGCAAGGCUAAGCCAGGGGCCUCCAGAAAUCCAGCCAGCCUUCAGACCACAGGAGGGGAAAUAAAUGCGUCCCCAGUGGGUUUACCAGCACAAGAGAGUUUGGCCGAAGGGCUUCCCCUGGAAAGAGCAAUGCCAGAGUCACUGGAAAAUAGCAUGCCUGGGGCUGAUAGAAAAGAUGGAGUAGAAAACAGGUCUGUGAAAAGAUCCCUGUCCUCCAGCAAACCACACCUGAAACCAGCCCUAGGCAUGAAUGGAGCCAAAGCCCGCAGCCAGAGUUUCAGUGCUCACUCAGGGGAGAAGCCCCCCACGCCCCCCACAGAAGGGCUGGGCAAAGUCCGGACACAGAUUAUUACCAACACCGCUGAGAGAGGCAAUUCCCUCACCCGGCAGAGCUCUUCCACCGAAGGCUCUCCCAGCAAGAGUGCAUCUGCCCCCGUGUCUGAUGGUCUCCCAAGCACUGGGAGGCCCCUGGGACAUCCUUCCCCCAGGCAGGGUUCCUUGGGGAGCACAGGCAGCUCCAGCAGCCAGCAUGGGAGCCCAAGCAAGUUGCCUUUGAAGAUCCCUCCAAAAUCUGAAGAGCCCCUUACCCCAGCUGGAACAGAAGAGCAGCAGGCCUACGCCCAGGGAGAAGACCCCAGGGUGACGGUGCCUGAGGAACCAGGCAGCGACCACUGCAGGUGCCCGCUCACCCCAACAGAUAGCUCCGGAGGCCCACAGAGCCUGGGGAGGACACCGCAUCCCAGCAGUUUCACAGCAAGCAGGACCUCCAAGCUAGAAACUUCUGGAAGGUAUACAGAUACUUCAACAACCAGGGCUGGUGUCGUAAGCCCAGAAGCCCCCCUCUCACCCACAAUUGAAGAAAAGGUCAUGUUGUGCAUUCAGGAAAAUGUGGAAAAGGGCCAAGUGCAAACAAAGUCCACCACUGUGGAAAUAAAACCGAAGCCGGGGCCUUCUUUUGCCAGCUGGUUCGGUUUUCGGAGGAGCAGACUCCCGGCUCUCAGUAGCAGGAAGAUGGAUGUCUCCAAAACCAAAGCAGAAAAGAAAGAUGCAAAAGGUUUAGGGUUUGGAAACAAACAGCUGAAAUCAGAGAGAAAGAAAGAGAAAAAGAAGCCUGAGCUACAGUGUGAGAUGGAAAAUGAACUUCACAGGGACAUCGAGUUGGCAGAUGGUCCAGACAGUGGUUUGCAAAAUAGAAAUAACCUGAAAACACCGCCAGACAUUUAUGACCAAGUGAAGUUUGAAUCAAGAAAUAGACCCAGCCCUGUUCCAUGUUCAGCGAAAGAUACCUUUAUGACAGAACUUCUGAACAGAGUUGAUAAGAAAGCAGCUCAACAGGCGGAAAGUGGAUCAAAUAAUCUCUCCUGUAGGAGUGUGCUAAAGGGCAGCCCCCAGGGCUCCUGUCUCACCAGCAGCUCUCUCAGCACUCAAGGAAACCACAAGAAAAACAUCAAAACCAAAGCAGAUAUGGAAAAACCGAAAGGCUCCCCGAUAAGAGAGGCAAAUGAACACCUGCAAGAGGAUGAAGAAGAUACAGUUGCAGAUUCUGCAUUUCAGAGCCAUACCAUAGAAACAAACUGCCAGAUGAGGACCCUGGACAGUGGGAUUGGAACCUUCCCACUCCCAGACUCAGGAACUCGCGCAGCGGGACGGUACAUACGCCAAGCAGACUCCCCUGAGGACACUGACCCCAUCCUGUCUCUCCAACCGGCCCUUUGUGCAGCUUCUUCCAUGAGAGCCCAGACCCUUGAAAGAGAAGUGCCUUCCUCUGCAGAUAGCCAGGGCUCUGCAGACAACGCCAUUGUUCACUCCACAUCCGACCCCAUCAUGACUGCCAGAGGGAUGCGACCUCUUCAGAAUCUCCUCCCCAAAUCAGCCUCCUCAGGAAAAAUCGGUUCCCAAAUGCAGAGUGAAGCCGAGCCAAGGUCUCAAAAUUGUUCAUCAUUCGAAUAUGUCGAAAACACAAUGGCAAGCAAGCCACUUCCAGCCUGGGAGGGUGAUGGCGCUGCUGCAGAGACCCAGAAAUUGAAACAAGUUGAAGAAACCAGAGAAGAUCCUGAGAAUAGAUUAUGCAAAAUUUCCCUGGAGUCAUUCAAUAAAUAUGACAGCAAUACUGUGAUCUUAUUAGGAAAGGAGAAGAACUCUCUGAACAAGGUUGAAGGACAAAAGGAAGAAAAAGAAAAAACUGAAGAGGCCUCUUUGAGUAGUUCUGAUAGGCCUGGGAUAGACCACCUGGAAUCUUUGAGUGAUUCUUUAUAUGAUAGCUUCUCUUCCUGUGCAAGUCAGGGUUCAAAUGAUGUAUAAAGGACUUUUUCCCCCCUUAGUGAGCUGGAAAUGGAGCACUUAAGAAACAGGGGUGGGAGGAGCAGGACAGGUAGAGAUGACAACACAUAAAUGAUCGCAGUACCAGAGCCUCUGCUGUCAGACUCAGAGCCAGCAGCCCACUGAGCUUACUUCCCUGACAGGGCAAUAAAGAUAGAUUCUAUUUGUUGUGUUCCA